rnacentral:rRNA from 1 species
CCUACGGGCGGCUGCAGUGAGGAAUAUUGGUCAAUGGGCGGGAGCCUGAACCAGCCAAGCAGCGUGAGGGAAGAAGGUACAGCGUAUCGUAAACCUCUUUUGUCAGGGAACAAAGUCGGGCACUAGUCCCCUUAUGAGUGUACCUGAAGAACAAGCAUCGGCUAACUCCGUGCCAGCAGCCGCGGUAAUACGGAGGAUUCGAGCGUUAUCCGGAUUUAUUGGGUUUAAAGGGUGCGCAGGCGGCCUGUUAAGUCAGCGGUAAAAGUCCGGGGCUCAACCCAGGCUUGCCGUUGAAACUGGCGGUCUGGAGUAGGAGAGAAGUAGGCGGAAUGCGUGGUGUAGCGGUGAAAUGCUUAGAUAUCGCGCAGAACCCCGAUUGCGAAGGCAGCGUAC